rnacentral:ncRNA from 2 species
AGAGGAGUAAAUAGGAUACCUCAUAUAAUCUUGGGAAUAAGGCCCAUAAGUUUCUACCUGACGACCAUUAAUCGUCGGACUAUGAGGGGGAAAGUCGUGUUC